CCUACUAUACAUUAAAGAAUAAAAUAACAUUAUUGUUUUAAAACUGUAUUAUAGUCAUUCGGUCUAUGUUCAAACCAAGCUUAAUAUUAUUAUCAUACAAUUGGAAAUAAGAGACAACCCUUAACUCACCACAGUGAACUUACGCGGAAACCUAGGACACUAUACAGAACCCGCAUUGAAAUUGUUGAACUGUUAGAAAGUGUGAAGUUGAAACCACAGAUGGUAUUAAUAUGUAGAUUCAGCUGCGUAGUUUCUUGCUUUGCAUCUAUAAACAAGCACAGUAGGGUUGAGAGAUUUGGAAGAGUUUCUUACACUUUAAACGAGGAAUAAUUUGGCAGCUUUUUGUUGAACCUAUAAACAUGACUCAACAAGAUAAUCUGAUCACUAGAUGUCAGCAUGGAGUCUUGAAAGCAAAAUGUGCCGACAUAUUGGGGAGUUUGAACUUGAGACUUGUGAACGGAAUCUGUAAAGCCGUAUUUUCAGUUUAACAUGCAAUAAAUGCGACUUCGAUAGCUCCGUAUGUUACAUUAGGUGCGAAGAAAGGAUUGAGGUGUAAUCUCCUUAACGUAGCUCGCUGUUGAAGUUAAAAGUUAAGGUUCGCAAAUUAGCUUAAAACAAAGCUGGUCAAGCUCUCGCUGAUAAUUCCGUCAAAGUCGGUGAGCGGCGUGCGAGUUACAAGACCUCCCUAACCCGGAUGUCUCGGCCUUAUUCCUUUGAACUGCGGCCGGUGACCCUUUGGAUCCUGAAUCCGUUUACUGCAAAACAAUACUUUGGCCCGGUCAGCGAACAAGAAGACGCAGGUGCUUGGUGUAAAUGUGUUAGACGGCCUGUAGUAUGGGGUAGGGAAUAGCCGUAUUAUGUUGCAAAGUUAUGCGAGUGGACGUUACGCAUUCUCACGUCGCUUCAAAGACUUCUGACCGGUGACCCCUCCCUUUGGAAACGAAAUUGGCUGUGUACAAGAAAUUAAAACUUUGUUUAGCCGUUUCUAUUACUAAGUUGGAAUAAACAGAACAAUAAACGAAAUGAAGUCAACAGUGAAAAUGAUUUGGCUUCAUGUCAUUUACCGGGAGGGGUAAAUCUGUGACCCAGUUAGUGACGUCACCCGGCCAUUGACGUCAUCAGCGACAAAACAAGAUGCAGCUGAGAGUUAUGAAGAGUUUAAAAACUGCAUUGAUGUAAUAAGAUAAGAAGCAGGGGUUACUGGAUCGAGACCAAGCCCGGUUACCAUCGAUCGUACAACAGGGAUAACGGGAUCCACUCCAUGGGAUGACGCCACGAUAUUUCUUCCCAUAGGAACUCAUUACCGAACCUUAGUGAUAUAAACCCCCCUGGUGGUUUAUACUGCGGGUCAAUUCCAU